GCGCCCGUAGCUCAGCAGGAUAGAGCGUCGGUUUCCUAAACCGAAGGUCGAGGGUUCGAGCCCCCCCGGGCGUACCA
rnacentral:tRNA from 1 species